UAAAUACCAUGUAGGGAAGGCUGCGGAACGCCCUGCUGUACAGCUCCUCGUUAGUAUAGUGCUUACCAGCAUCUCCUGGCAGGGUAAAUUUUACACCAAUAUAUGGGCUGCCAGAAGGAAGCUGAAAGUCUACCAACCACCUCAAGGAAAUGAGCAAACAAGCAGGCACAGACAUGCUGGGCAGCCUUUGUUUCCUCUGGGCCAGCAACAUAAAAGACACUGAGUGAGGUGGGGUCUUGGUUUGUCCUGUUUCUGGCUGGAAGGACACAGCACUGCUCAGUGUGGAUCUUGUCACAGACACUGACUGGGACUUUGGAG